UACGAGUGGUGCGAACGUUAUCCGGAAUUACUGGGCGUAAAGGGCGCGUAGGCGGAGAGAUGUGUGUGAUGUGAGAGCCCCGGGCUUAACCUGGGAAGAGCAUCGCAAACUGUCUGACUAGAGUAUAUGAGAGGGUGGUGGAGUUUCCGGUGUAGCGGUGAAAUGCGUAGAGAUCGGAAGGAACGUCGAUGGCGAAGGCAGCCACCUGGCAUAAUACUGACGCUGAGGCGCGAGAGCGUGGGGAGCGAACAGG
rnacentral:rRNA from 1 species